rnacentral:rRNA from 1 species
GACGAACGCUGGCGGCGCGCUUAACACAUGCAAGUCGAACGGAAAGGCCUGCUUUCCCUUGUGGAUUGCGGGUACUCGAGUGGCGAACGGGUGAGUAACACGUGAGUGAUCUGCCCCCAACUUGGGUAUAAGCCUGGGAAACUGGGUCUAAUUCCCGAUAGGACUGCAGGGUGGUGCCUGUGGUGGAAAACGAUUUUCUAGUGGUUGGGGAUGAGCUCGCGGCCUAUCAGCUUGUUGGUGGGGUAAUGGCCUACCAAGGGGGCGACGGGUAGCCGGCCUGGGAGGGGGGACGGGCACAUUGGGACUGAGAGACGGCCCAGACUCCUACGGGAGGCAGCAGUGGGGAAGAAUGCACAAUGGGCGGAAGCCUGAUGCAGCGACGCCGCGUGGGGGAUGACGGCCUUCGGGUUGUAAACUCCUUUCGACCGCGAGGAAGCCACCUGGUUGGAAGGGUGGUGACGGUAGUGGUAGAAGAAGCACCGGCUAACUACGUG